UCCCUUGUAGCUUAGCUGGUAAAGAAUCUACCUGCGAUGCAGGAGACCGAGGUUCGAUUUCUGGCUUGGGAA
rnacentral:tRNA from 1 species